rnacentral:rRNA from 1 species
GAACAGGAUUAGAUACCCUGGUAGUCCACGCUUUAAACGAUGAUCACUCGUUGUUGGCAAUACACCGUCAGCGACUGAGCGAAAGCAUUUAAGUGAUCCACCUGGGGAGUACGACCGCAAGGUUGAAACUCAAAGGAAUUGACGGGGGCCCGCACAAGCGGAGGAACAUGUGGUUUAAUUCGAUGAUACGCGAGGAACCUUACCUGGGCUUAAAUGUAGAACGACGGACCGGGAAACUGGUCUUUCUUCGGACGGUCUGCAAGGUGCUGCAUGGCUGUCGUCAGCUCGUGCCGUGAGGUGUCGGGUUAAGUCCCAUAACGAGCGCAACCCUCAUCAUUAGUUGCCAGCGGGUAAUGCCGGGGACUCUAAUGAAACUGCCGGUGUCAACCGAGAGGAAGGUGGGGAUGACGUCAAGUCAGCACGGCCCUUAUGUCCAGGGCUACACACGUGUUACAAUGGUCGGUACAAAGGGCAGCUACCUGGCGACAGGAUGCUAAUCUCGAAAACCGAUCUCAGUUCGGAUCGAAGUCUGCAACUUGACUUCGUGAAGCUGGAUUCGCUAGUAAUCGCGCACUCAGCCAUGGCGCGGUGAAUACGUUCCCGGGCCUUGUACACACCGCCCGUCAAGCCAUGGAAGCUGGGG